rnacentral:RNase_P_RNA from 1 species
CACAUGAGAUGUGGGGCUGACGAUGAGCUUUGACUCGUUGAGGAACCUCGCCUCACCAUUCCAAACAAGGAGUAGAGAACUACUAUGGUGAAAACCAUAUUUAAGCAACUGAAACGACACUGCCUUUUCACGUAUAUUCAUGAUUUGGAAAAAAGCCAAAGAAAUUGUGGAAAGGAAUAGUUGGAACGAGCUUAAACCUUGGUGCAAGACCAAACGAAAGCGAUGAAGAUUUGGAACGAGCUUUAGGUAGGUCGCGUAGUUGGAUGCCCCACGAUAUUUUGGGUGACCGAAAUAUUGACAGAAAGGCGGGUAUACAUCUCAGGUG